rnacentral:rRNA from 1 species
GACGAACGCUGGCGGCGUGCUUAACACAUGCAAGUCGGACGGAAAGGCCCUGCUUUUGUGGGGUGCUCGAGUGGCGAACGGGUGAGUAACACGUGAGUAACCUGCUCUUGACUUUGGGAUAACUUCAGGAAACUGGGGCUACUACCGGAUCGGAGCUCCUGCUGCAUGGUGGGGGUUGGAACGUUUCUGCGGUUGGGGAUGGACUCGCGGCUAAUCAGCUUGUUGGUUGGGUAGUGGCUUACCAAGGGAUUGACGGGUAGCCGGCCUGAGAGGGUGACCGGCGACAAGAGUACUACGGGACGGACCAGUGGGGUACGGGGGGCAGCAGGGGGGAAUAUGGCACAACGAGCGCAAGUGUGAUGAGGCGACGCCGGGGUCGGGAUGACGGCCUUCUGGGUGUAAACCGCUGUCGCCUGUGACGAAGCGGGAGUGACGGUAAUGGGUAAAGAAGCACCGGCUAACUACGUG